CCUACGGGAGACAGCAGUGAGGAAUAUUGGUCAAUGGGCGGAAGCCUGAACCAGCCAAGUAGCGUGCAGGAUGACGGCCCUACGGGUUGUAAACUGCUUUUAUACGGGAAUAACGCGCCUUACGUGUAGGGCUUUGCAUGUACCGUAUGAAUAAGGACCGGCUAAUUCCGUGCCAGCAGCCGCGGUAAUACGGAAGGUCCGGGCGUUAUCCGGAUUUAUUGGGUUUAAAGGGAGCGUAGGCCGCAUGUCAAGCGUGCUGUGAAAUGUCCGGGCUCAACCCGGGCCUUGCAGCGCGAACUGGGGGGCUUGAGUGCGCGGAAGGCAGGCGGAAUUCGUCGUGUAGCGGUGAAAUGCUUAGAUAUGACGAAGAACCCCGAUUGCGAAGGCAGCUUGCUGCAGCGGAACUGACGCUGAUGCUCGAAAGCGCGGGUAUCGAACAGGAUUAGAUACCCUGGUAGUC
rnacentral:rRNA from 1 species